rnacentral:rRNA from 1 species
AAACUUUGUUUUAGAAGUAAUAAAGGAAAUGCUUAUUCAACUACGGCAUUGUCGGACAACCGACCGGAUUCAAGCCCUAGCCCCUGAAGUCGGAUGGACUUGUGGAAAUCCUCGAAAACAAGUAUUGCUCAACUCACCUAUUUAUAA